rnacentral:rRNA from 1 species
GACGAACGCUGGCGGCGUGCUUAACACAUGCAAGUCGAACGGAAAGGCCCUGCUUUUGUGGGGUGCUCGAGUGGCGAACGGGUGAGUAACACGUGAGUAACCUGCCCUUGACUUUGGGAUAACUUCAGGAAACUGGGGCUAAUACCGGAUAGGAGCUCCUGCUGCAUGGUGGGGGUUGGAAAGUUUCGGCGGUUGGGGAUGGACUCGCGGCUUAUCAGCUUGUUGGUGGGGUAGUGGCUUACCAAGGCUUUGACGGGUAGCCGGCCUGAGAGGGUGACCGGCCACCUUGGGACUGAGAUACGGCCCAGACUCCUACGGGAGGCAGCAGUGGGGAAUAUUGCACAAUGGGCGGAAGCCUGAUGCAGCAACGCCGCGUGCGUGAUGACGGCCUUCGGGUUGUAAACCGCUUUCGCCUGUGACGAAGCGUGAGUGACGGUAAUGAGUAAAGAAGCACCGGCUAACUACGUG